ACCGUAGCCCGUAACCGCCUCCGGGCGUGACGGGUGGCUGGUAUCCUCCUUCUGAGGGGUGUAUGGCGCAGCGUGGGCCGGCUUUCGGGUCGCGAAUUCCCGAUGUUGCGGCGGGACCACCCCUUGGGCGCCACUCAGUGAGCGCAAUUGGAUGGCCCGUUGGCACCUCUGGCGGCUUCGGCCCCGGGGGUGGCUUGGGCCGGGCGUUGGGCUUCGGUCCAUGUCCCGACCUCUUAACUAACCCUGACCCCCCCUUCAUUGAGGGGUUGCCGGUGGCCCUUCGCCCUUCGGGACGGGGUGGCCUCGCGGUCAAGAUAGUUACCUGGUUGAUUCUGCCAGUAGUCAUAUGCUUGUCUCAA
rnacentral:misc_RNA from 1 species